rnacentral:rRNA from 1 species
UACGGAAGGCAGCAGUGGGGAAUAUUGCACAAUGGGCGAAAGCCUGAUGCAGCUAUGCCGCGUGUAUGAAGAAGGCCUUAGGGUUGUAAAGUACUUUCAUCGGGGAGGAAAAACAAAACUAAUAAUUUUAUUUCUUGACGUUACCCGAAAAAGAAGCACCGGCUAACUCCGUGCCAGCAGCCGCGGUAAUACGGAGGGUGCUAGUGUUAAUCAGAAUUACUGGGCGUAAAGAGCACGUAGGUGGUUUUUUUAAGUCAGAUGUGAAAUCCCUGGGCUUAACCUAGGAACUGCAUUUUGAAACUGAAAUACUAGAGUAUCGUAGAGGGAGGUAGAAUUCUAGGUGUAGCGGUGAAAUGCGUAGAUAUCUGGAGGAAUACCUGUGGCGAAAGCGGCCUCCUAAACGAAUACUGACACUGAGGUGCGAAAGCGUGGGGAGCAAAACAGGGAUUAGAUACC